GUUUAGUCUAAGAAUGGGCAAUUUUCACUGAAGGUGCUGCCUCUGUGGGAACCAGACUCUGUGUGUGUGUGUGCGUGUGUGUGUGUGUUGUGUGUGUAUGUGCGCACGUGCGUGCAUGUGCACACAUGUGCUUACGCCUCUGCAAUAAUCUCAGGUCAUGCAGGCCCAGCCAUGUCCUUGUCAUCCUCACAUUUCUUCUAUUGAUGUUGCACAAGAACCCUGGACAUUUCCAGAGAGGCUGAAUGAUGGGGGCACCAGACAGGGGAUCAGCCACACCCACUUCCAGGACCUGCCUUUUCUGCUUCUUGCCCUUCCAAGUGUGUUUCCUGAGACGUUCAGGUUUUUAAGGACCCAUAGGGAUGUUGCUUGGGAUUUGUGUUCUGUAGUUGGUGCUCUGUGUCUUGUUCCACCUUUUACUUCUCCUGCUAGUCCCUAAGAGUCACCUCUCAUCAUGGAUGGGGACUUCCAUGUCCCCCAAAUGACUUCAGGAGAGCAUCUCAAGCCCAACGCAUUGUGGGCUCUUCCUGCCCCUCUGGAUUCUCACUGCUUGCCCACGACGAGGAUCUGAUCCCUGGCAGGAGAUGGCUUGGCAUGUGGGUUAAAAGAAGAUAGUUCUUGAGAAAGUUGUGGUGAGGGGCUGUGUUCUGGUCUAUCUCCUGAGUUCCAAGCUUUCAGUUUUGU
rnacentral:lncRNA from 1 species